rnacentral:lncRNA from 1 species
UUUUCUUCAUUGCUUAAUUAUAAAGUUGAUGAGUAAUUUUGUUUUAGUCACAUUUGGGCACCUGAAGUAACUAUUUCCUAUUAUAUUUCAGAAUAUGGUGCUAAGUGGAAUAACUUCUUGUCACGAGUGAGCCCAGAUGAUGAACUCACUCUUGCUCAAAUUAUGGGAAUGCUUUUAUUUGAUGCCUUCUUAUAUGGCCUUCUGGCCUGGUAUAUAGAUGCUGUCUUUCCAGGAAAGUAUGGUGUGCCCAAGCCAUGGUAUUUCUUUAUGCAGAAAGGCUACUGGCUUGGAAAGGCUACAAGCAUUAGGAAAAAGGAAGAUAUGCCUGUUACUAGUACAGUUCAAAAUGCUUACUUUGAAGAAGAACCUGUUGGUUUGAUGGCUGGUAUCAGGAUUCAACAUUUGUACAAGGUAUUAUUUACAGGUCUCUUUCCCCCUGUACUAUUGGAAAGUAAUUUACAACACAUAGUAAAUUAAUUUUCUGUUGCAAAGAGCUGACUCAUUGGAAAAGACUCUGAUGCUGGGAAAGAUUGAAGGCAAAAGGAGAAGACGGUGGCAGAGGAUAAGAUGGUUAGAUAGCAUGACCAACUCAAUGGGCAUGAAUUUGAGCAGACUCUGGGACAUAGUGAAGGAGAGGGAAGCCUGGCAUCCUGCAGUCUAUAUGGUUGCAGAGUCAGACACAAUUUAGCAACUGAACAAUAAAAAUAACAAAUGUUUUUCACUGGCCAUAACCCUACUUCCAUAUGAUGUUAAUAAAAUGUUAUAGUCAGCAGACUGAUUAUUU